rnacentral:rRNA from 1 species
CAGUCGCCGCGGUAACACGAAGGGGGCUAGCGUUGCUCGGAAUUACUGGGCGUAAAGGGAGCGUAGGCGGACAUUUAAGUCAGGGGUGAAAUCCCAGAGCUCAACUCUGGAACUGCCUUUGAUACUGGGUGUCUUGAGUGUGAUAGAGGUAUGUGGAACUCCGAGUGUAGAGGUGAAAUUCGUAGAUAUUCGGAAGAACACCAGUGGCGAAGGCGACAUACUGGUCCAUUACUGACGCUGAGGUGCGAAAGCGUGGGGAGCAAACAGGAUUAGAUACCCCCGUAGUCCCUGUCUCUUAUAC